rnacentral:rRNA from 1 species
GCAGCUUGCUGCUUUGCUGACGAGUGGCGGACGGGUGAGUAAUGUCUGGGAAACUGCCUGAUGGAGGGGGAUAACUACUGGAAACGGUAGCUAAUACCGCAUAACGUCGCAAGACCAAAGAGGGGGACCUUAGGGCCUCUUGCCAUCGGAUGUGCCCAGAUGGGAUUAGCUAGUAGGUGGGGUAAAGGCUCACCUAGGCGACGAUCCCUAGCUGGUCUGAGAGGAUGACCAGCCACACUGGAACUGAGACACGGUCCAGACUCCUACGGGAGGCAGCAGUGGGGAAUAUUGCACAAUGGGCGCAAGCCUGAUGCAGCCAUGCCGCGUGUAUGAAGAAGGCCUUCGGGUUGUAAAGUACUUUCAGCGGGGAGGAAGGGAGUAAAGUUAAUACCUUUGCUCAUUGACGUUACCCGCAGAAGAAGCACCGGCUAACUCCGUGCCAGCAGCCGCGGUAAUACGGAGGGUGCAAGCGUUAAUCGGAAUUACUGGGCGUAAAGCGCACGCAGGCGGUUUGUUAAGUCAGAUGUGAAAUCCCCGGGCUCAACCUGGGAACUGCAUCUGAUACUGGCAAGCUUGAGUCUCGU